rnacentral:rRNA from 1 species
UACGAAGGGGGCUAGCGUUGUUCGGAAUUACUGGGCGUAAAGCGCACGUAGGCGGAUUGCUAAGUCAGGGGUGAAAUCCUGGAGCUCAACUCCAGAACUGCCUUUGAUACUGGCGAUCUCGAGUCCGGGAGAGGUGAGUGGAACUGCGAGUGUAGAGGUGAAAUUCGUAGAUAUUCGCAAGAACACCAGUGGCGAAGGCGGCUCACUGGCCCGGUACUGACGCUGAGGUGGCGAAAGCGUGGGGAGCAAACAGG